AGGCUUAACACAUGCAAGUCGAGGGGCAGCACAGGUAGCAAUACCGGGUGGCGACCGGCGCACGGGUGAGUAACGCGUAUGCAACUUACCUAUCAGAGGGGGAUAACCCGGCGAAAGUCGGACUAAUACCGCAUGAAGCAGGGGCCCCGCAUGGGGAUAUUUGCUAAAGAUUCAUCGCUGAUAGAUAGGCAUGCGUUCCAUUAGGCAGUUGGCGGGGUAACGGCCCACCAAACCGACGAUGGAUAGGGGUUCUGAGAGGAAGGUCCCCCACAUUGGUACUGAGACACGGACCAAACUCCUACGGGAGGCAGCAGUGAGGAAUAUUGGUCAAUGGCCGAGAGGCUGAACCAGCCAAGUCGCGUGAGGGAUGAAGGUUCUAUGGAUCGUAAACCUCUUUUAUAAGGGAAUAAAGUGCGGGACGUGUCCCGUUUUGUAUGUACCUUAUGAAUAAGGAUCGGCUAACUCCGUGCCAGCAGCCGCGGUAAUACGGAGGAUCCGAGCGUUAUCUGGAUUUAUUGGGUUUAAAGGGUGCGUAGGCGGCCUUUUAAGUCAGCGGUGAAAGUCUGUGGCUCAACCAUAGAAUUGCCGUUGAAACUGGGGGGCUUGAGUAUGUUUGAGGCAGGCGGAAUGCGUGGUGUAGCGGUGAAAUGCAUAGAUAUCACGCAGAACCCCGAUUGCGAAGGCAGCCUGCCAAGCCAUUACUGACGCUGAUGCACGAAAGCGUGGGGAUCAAACAGGAUUAGAUACCCUGGUAGUCCACGCAGUAAACGAUGAUCACUAGCUGUUUGCGACACACUGUAAGCGGCACAGCGAAAGCGUUAAGUGAUCCACCUGGGGAGUACGCCGGCAACGGUGAAACUCAAAGGAAUUGACGGGGGCCCGCACAAGCGGAGGAACAUGUGGUUUAAUUCGAUGAUACGCGAGGAACCUUACCCGGGUUUGAACGCAUUCGGACCGAGGUGGAAACACCUUUUCUAGCAAUAGCCGUUUGCGAGGUGCUGCAUGGUUGUCGUCAGCUCGUGCCGUGAGGUGUCGGCUUAAGUGCCAUAACGAGCGCAACCCUUGCCACUAGUUACUAACAGGUAAAGCUGAGGACUCUGGUGGGACUGCCAGCGUAAGCUGCGAGGAAGGCGGGGAUGACGUCAAAUCAGCACGGCCCUUACAUCCGGGGCGACACACGCGUUACAAUGGCGUGGACAAAGGGAAGCCACCUGGCGACAGGGAGCGAAUCCCCAAACCACGUCUCAGUUCGGAUCGGAGUCUGCAACCCGACUCCGUGAAGCUGGAUUCGCUAGUAAUCGCGCAUCAGCCAUGGCGCGGUGAAUACGUUCCCGGGCCUUGUACACACCGCCCGUCAAGCCAUGGGAGCCGGGGGUACCUGAAGUCCGUAACCGCGAGGAUCGGCCUAGGGUAAAACUGGUGACUGGGGCUAAGUCG
rnacentral:rRNA from 1 species